GCUUUUGAGAAAAGACUGAGAUUUGAACCGUGGACGGGCGUCCAUUGCACCGGGUGCACGGCGAGCAGGCGGCAAGCAGCCCACUUUCCCCACCCUCGAACGAACCAAAACCAAACCCCCAUCGAUUGUUUCCCCCAUUCGCAUUCCCUCCCCUCCCCUCCUCCGACCCGCGCGGCGACGCUCGCACGCACGCAGAUCGCCGCGGCGGCGCGCCCGGCGGCUCCGCUCCACUGC
rnacentral:lncRNA from 1 species